AUGGCUGUAGCUCAGUGAUAGAGCUUCUACUUUGCAAGCAAAAAGUCCCUGGAUCAAUUCCUGGCAUCCUCCAGGCAUG